AUUGAACGCUGGCGGCAGGCCUAACACAUGCAAGUCGAGCGGGGUUUUCGGACCUAGCGGCGGACGGGUGAGUAAUGCGUAGGAAGCUACCCGAUAGAGGGGGAUACCAGUUGGAAACGACUGUUAAUACCGCAUAAUGUCUACGGACCAAAGUGUGGGACCUUCGGGCCACAUGCUAUCGGAUGCGCCUACGUGGGAUUAGCUAGUUGGUGGGGUAAUGGCUCACCAAGGCGACGAUCCCUAGCUGGUUUGAGAGGAUGAUCAGCCACACUGGAACUGAGACACGGUCCAGACUCCUACGGGAGGCAGCAGUGGGGAAUAUUGGACAAUGGGCGCAAGCCUGAUCCAGCCAUGCCGCGUGUGUGAAGAAGGCCUUCGGGUUGUAAAGCACUUUCAGUAGGGAGGAAGGGUGUUGUGUUAAUGGCACAGCAUUUUGACGUUACCUACAGAAGAAGCUCCGGCUAACUCUGUGCCAGCAGCCGCAGUAAGAC
rnacentral:rRNA from 1 species